GGUCAUCAAACCAAACAUCAUUCAAAAUUAUGGGAUGAUGGCGAAAAGUGGGAAACGAUACUUUACAAAUUGACCGGUUUACGCGAAAGAAACAAAGCCAUCGCUUACAUUAAAAGCAAAGCGAAUCUUAAAAGCGAUGAGGAAGUCUAUAGAUUUGUUAUAUCCCUUCGCGGUUCAAGAGGUUGGAGCUUCACUUAUGACUUCCUUACAACAUUGGAAGGAGAUACGAGUA